GUGCUCACUUCAGCAGCACAUAUACUAAAAUUGGAACGAUACAGAGAAGAUUAGCACAAGGAUGACACGCAAAUUCGUGACACGUUCCAUAUUUUU
ensembl:snRNA U6 U6 spliceosomal RNA